GUGACCCUGUCAGCCUCUGAUCCCACCACAGGAAGUCGGAGUGGGGGUAGAGAGGGACGAGACGAGCUGGAGGAAAGACAGAGACUGAACUUUCUGACUGAAACUACGUCGCUGAGUCGAGGAAAGAGACAAAAAAAACAAACAGUGUUUACGCAAAAUCUAAAACUCUGCAAGCAGCAAAACUCACAACGUACCAGCAGCCGUGUUGAAUCCCCCACUUUGUUUUCCUGUCUGUCUACGAGGCCGAUCUCAGACGUGACCUUUUGCUUUUCACACAUGCACAACCCAGCGGGAGGUUUCCUGCACUGACACGUUCACAACAGCAUCAAAUGGAAGUGACGUAUUAACUCCGCGGCAGAGAUCACGUGACUUUCGUGACAGCACACGGAGAAAACACGGAGGAUCUGCGGAGGUCAGUGCUGCUCGCAUCUCAAAAAACCAUCUUAUCAGCUUCACACUUGGUAAAUGUAUCGUUACGGGCCCGAGGAUGCGCAAGUGUUGAAUUUUAGAAACGCUUCAAUACUGAUAAAAUGUGAAUAAACAGGCGACGUGCAGUCAGUGGGGGAGGGGCCUAACAUGCAGUGUGUGAACUGAGCUGAACACGUCUUCCUCUACGUCCUCAGACGAACCACAGCAGAGGUCAGCAGCUGUCGGCCCGCAGGCCAAAAACAGCCCCGUCAGCAAUAAUAUCUGUCCCAGAUCAUUUUGACUGUUUGAUUAUUUAUUAUUUCACCAUACCGGACUGACGCAGACAUUCACAGACGUCGCGUCUGCUGAUCUCCGUCGUGGGAACAACAUUCUUUAAGAAUCACUUCCUCUUUUUCGGAGGAAUUUGUCCACAAAGUAAAAGCACGAGGAACACAUCGAAGGAAGUUCCUCAAUUCUGGUGCAGACGUUCACUUGGACGCAAAGAGGAACUGAUCAGGUCAAUGUUACAAGAACACGUGUCUUAGUGGAACUGAGGGUAAAGAUCAAACAUCACAAACUACGAGCUGAAUGAAGCAACGCUGCUCGAACCCGGACGUGGCCAGUGUCCUGAGGUAAAAACAGCUCCCUCUGGUGGAGACACGGGAUUGGUUAAGUAUAGAUUAGUUACAUAUUUGUCAUCUAUUUAUUAUUUUGGAUUAAUUGUGUAUCAUUGUAUGUUUCUAUUUAUUUGAUUUUCAAAAUGAACACUAAAGAAUUCGAAGAUGAAAUCUACACAAAAAACAGCUCCCUCUUGUGGACAAUUUGAGGCCGAUACAUUUUUUAUCUGUCAUUGUUCCGAUAUAUGUUUCCGUAAUUAUACCUAAUUUCUUUACUUUACAAUUGUUAUAUAGUCUAAAUAACUAAAAUGGACAACGCAAAUCCAUUUUCUCCAAUGCUAGGGCGACCAAAAACUAAAAUUUGUUGUCAUCAUUAAACUGAAAAUAGACAAAUAUUCACCAGCUGCAGCUUCUUCAACGUGACGAGUUGCUGCUUUUCUCUGUUUAUAGCGUCGUUAAUCAGAUAUCAUAUUGUUUCGACUGUCAGGACCAUGAAUUUUCUGUUUUAAACAUGUGUAAUAGACUCAAUGAUAAAUCAAAAGACAGAAUAAUCAAUAGACCGAUCCCUAUAGACCUUAUCAUUGGCUCCUGUGCAGAGCUCCACCACAUGCAGUGGGACUCACUGGGUGUAUUUCUGGGGAGAAGCAGUACCUGCAGCCGUCCAGCAGAGGAUCUGUCUCCAACAGGCCAAUCGGAAUAUUUAGAAAAAUCUAUUUUUAUCCGCUGAAGGCCGACUGAGCGUGAACUGAACGCUCGGCUUCAUCCUCGUACGGUUCCACACGUUCACACCCGCUGAGAACAACCAGGCUGUUACUGCAGAGCUGAGAGGGGGUGGGGGCUUUCUCUCUUUCUGGGGUUCAGAGCAGCAGAGUUCAGGUCCUGUCACUUCCUCACGAUGGAAACCUGACGUUUUUCACUUAGAGAAAUAAAGGUGAAACAGCCAACGUGGGUUUUGUGGGAUGCAUCACUUCCUGUCUGUCUGUUACAGUGCAGUUAAACCACAGACUGUAAAUAAAGAUGGGAAACACGUCUCCACUUCCUCACACCGUCCAGAAGCCAAAACAUCUCAGAUACGCCAAAGACGUCAUUUGGAGCCAGAGUCUGUGAAGUUGUGAUCGUGGUGUGGAGCUGCGUCACCAAGGUCCCGCCCAAUCUCACACUCAGCCAAUCACCAGUUAGUCUCAGCUGUCAAUCAUGAUGUUUCAGCUCGUUUUUACAGCAUCAAAUAACUGAUUAAACCAAAAUUAUCCGUAAAACAUGAACUUUUGAACAAGCAUCAGCAUCAAGAACAACGUAAAAUGACAGAAACCAUCUUUGUUUUAAUUAUUUCAUCAUUUUAAGUUAUAAAGUUUGGUGUAUGUCCCAUCCGCUACCAUGGAUGAGGCAGGGUUUGUGACCAAUACUGCAGCCGGCCACCAGAGGGCCAUGGAGACGCUUUGGCUUCACUUUUGGGAGGUGCCAUGUCGUCCAUCUUUAUUUGCAGUCUAUGGAAGUAUAUAUGCUUCUAUCACACACAGCAAAGCAAAAAGAACCACUUUAAAUUCUCCAAUGCGUGAAAUCGCUUCCUUCAACUUCACGUUGUCUCUCCGUUUCUUUUGGACCCAAAAUGAAACAACGUACAAAAAAGCUGUGACACGAAGACAACGUACAAAAUGGAAUGUGUGUUGUUUCCAAUUUGCCCAAAAAAAUGACAUAUCAGCAUGUUGAGAUCAUCAUUUUCCACAAACUACAUUCCUGACACCGCGUUCACAUCAUUCUGGAAACAGCAGAUGUCGGUGACGUCUUACUGCGGCAGUUUGGAAUCUUUAAAAAAAUAUAUAUAUAUAUCUCAUUUGUCCUUCACAUCUCUGUUGCAGCAACGUGCAGAAAUAAAUAUGGGUUUUAAA